rnacentral:rRNA from 1 species
UACGGGGGGAGCAAGCGUUGUUCGGAUUUACUGGGCGUAAAGGGCGCGUAGGCGGCCACCGCAAGUCGACUGUGAAGUUUCCGGGCUUAACCCGGAAAGGUCAGCCGAUACUGCGGGGCUAGAGUGCAGAAGGGGCAACUGGAAUUCUCGGUGUAGCGGUGAAAUGCGUAGAUAUCGAGAGGAACACCUGCGGCGAAGGCGGGUUGCUGGGCUGACACUGACGCUGAGGCGCGAAAGCUAGGGGAGCGAACGGG